GGGCUCGUAGUCUAGUGGAUAGGGCGCAAGGCUUCGGACCUUGAUAUCGCGGGUUCGAAUCCCGCCGAGCCCA
rnacentral:tRNA from 2 species